AUUGAACGCUGGCGGCAGGCUUAACACAUGCAAGUCGAGCGGAGAUGAGGUGCUUGCACCUUAUCUUAGCGGCGGACGGGUGAGUAAUGCUUAGGAAUCUGCCUAUUAGUGGGGGACAACAUUCCGAAAGGAAUGCUAAUACCGCAUACGCCCUACGGGGGAAAGCAGGGGAUCUUCGGACCUUGCGCUAAUAGAUGAGCCUAAGUCGGAUGAGCUAGUUGGUGGGGUAAAGGCCUACCAAGGCGACGAUCUGUAGCGGGUCUGAGAGGAUGAUCCGCCACACUGGGACUGAGACACGGCCCAGACUCCUACGGGAGGCAGCAGUGGGGAAUAUUGGACAAUGGGCGGAAGCCUGAUCCAGCCAUGCCGCGUGUGUGAAGAAGGCCUUUUGGUUGUAAAGCACUUUAAGCGAGGAGGAGGCUACCUGGAUUAAUACUCUAAGAUAGUGGACGUUACUCGCAGAAUAAGCACCGGCUAACUCUGUGCCAGCAGCCGCCGCCGUAA
rnacentral:rRNA from 1 species